UGGGGAAUAUUGGACAAUGGGCGAAAGCCUGAUCCAGCUAUGCCGCGUGUGUGAAGAAGGUCUUCGGAUUGUAAAGCACUUUAAGUUGGGAGGAAGGGCAUUAACCUAAUACGUUAGUGUUUUGACGUUACCGACAGAAUAAGCACCGGCUAACUCUGUGCCAGCAGCCGCGGUAAUACAGAGGGUGCAAGCGUUAAUCGGAAUUACUGGGCGUAAAGCGCGCGUAGGUGGUUUGUUAAGUUGGAUGUGAAAUCCCCGGGCUCAACCUGGGAACUGCAUUCAAAACUGACUGACUAGAGUAUGGUAGAGGGUGGUGGAAUUUCCUGUGUAGCGGUGAAAUGCGUAGAUAUAGGAAGGAACACCAGUGGCGAAGGCGACCACCUGGACUAAUACUGACACUGAGGUGCGAAAGCGUGGGGAGCAAACA
rnacentral:rRNA from 1 species